UGGGCGUUAAGUUGCAGGGUAUAGACCCGAAACCCGGUGAUCUAGCCAUGGGCAGGUUGAAGGUUGGGUAACACUAACUGGAGGACCGAACCGACUAAUGUUGAAAAAUUAGCGGAUGACCUGUGGCUGGGGGUGAAAGGCCAAUCAAACCGGGAGAUAGCUGGUUCUCCCCGAAAGCUAUUUAGGUAGCGCCUCGUGAAUUCAUCUCCGGGGGUAGAGCACUGUUUCGGCUAGGGGGCCAUCCCGGCUUACCAACCCGAUGCAAACUGCGAAUACCGGAGAAUGUUAUCACGGGAGACACACGGCGGGUGCUAACGUCCGUCGUGAAGAGGGAAACAACCCAGACCGCCAGCUAAGGUCCCAAAGUCAUGGUUAAGUGGGAAACGAUGUGGGAAGGCCCAGACAGCCAGGAUGUUGGCUUAGAAGCAGCCAUCAUUUAAAGAAAGCGUAAUAGCUCACUGGUCGAGUCGGCCUGCGCGGAAGAUGUAACGGGGCUAAACCAUGCACCGAAGCUGCGGCAGCGACACUCAGGUGUUGUUGGGUAGGGGAGCGUUCUGUAAGCCUGUGAAGGUGGCCUGUGAGGGUUGCUGGAGGUAUCAGAAGUGCGAAUGCUGACAUAAGUAACGAUAAAGCGGGUGAAAAGCCCGCUCGCCGGAAGACCAAGGGUUCCUGUCCAACGUUAAUCGGGGCAGGGUGAGUCGACCCCUAAGGCGAGGCCGAAAGGCGUAGUCGAUGGGAAACGGGUUAAUAUUCCCGUACUUGGUGUUACUGCGAAGGGGGGACGGAGAAGGCUAUGUUGGCCGGGCGACGGUUGUCCCGGUUUAAGCGUGUAGGUGUGUGUUCCAGGUAAAUCCGGUUCACUUUAACACUGAGGCGUGAUGACGAGGCACUACGGUGCUGAAGCAACAAAUGCCCUGCUUCCAGGAAAAGCCUCUAAGCAUCAGGUAACAUCAAAUCGUACCCCAAACCGACACAGGUGGUCAGGUAGAGAAUACCAAGGCGCUUGAGAGAACUCGGGUGAAGGAACUAGGCAAAAUGGUGCCGUAACUUCGGGAGAAGGCACGCUGACACGUAGGUGAAGUGAUUUACUCAUGGAGCUGAAGUCAGUCGAAGAUACCAGCUGGCUGCAACUGUUUAUUAAAAACACAGCACUGUGCAAACACGAAAGUGGACGUAUACGGUGUGACGCCUGCCCGGUGCCGGAAGGUUAAUUGAUGGGGUCAGCGCAAGCGAAGCUCCUGAUCGAAGCCCCGGUAAACGGCGGCCGUAACUAUAACGGUCCUAAGGUAGCGAAAUUCCUUGUCGGGUAAGUUCCGACCUGCACGAAUGGCGUAAUGAUGGCCAGGCUGUCUCCACCCGAGACUCAGUGAAAUUGAACUCGCUGUGAAGAUGCAGUGUACCCGCGGCAAGACGGAAAGACCCCGUGAACCUUUACUAUAGCUUGACACUGAACAUUGAGCCUUGAUGUGUAGGAUAGGUGGGAGGCUUUGAAGUGUGGACGCCAGUCUGCAUGGAGCCGACCUUGAAAUACCACCCUUUAAUGUUUGAUGUUCUAACGUGGACCCGUGAUCCGGGUUGCGGACAGUGUCUGGUGGGUAGUUUGACUGGGGCGGUCUCCUCCUAAAGAGUAACGGAGGAGCACGAAGGUUGGCUAAUCCUGGUCGGACAUCAGGAGGUUAGUGCAAUGGCAUAAGCCAGCUUGACUGCGAGCGUGACGGCGCGAGCAGGUGCGAAAGCAGGUCAUAGUGAUCCGGUGGUUCUGAAUGGAAGGGCCAUCGCUCAACGGAUAAAAGGUACUCCGGGGAUAACAGGCUGAUACCGCCCAAGAGUUCAUAUCGACGGCGGUGUUUGGCACCUCGAUGUCGGCUCAUCACAUCCUGGGGCUGAAGUAGGUCCCAAGGGUAUGGCUGUUCGCCAUUUAAAGUGGUACGCGAGCUGGGUUUAGAACGUCGUGAGACAGUUCGGUCCCUAUCUGCCGUGGGCGCUGGAGAACUGAGGGGGGCUGCUCCUAGUACGAGAGGACCGGAGUGGACGCAUCACUGGUGUUCGGGUUGUCAUGCCAAUGGCACUGCCCGGUAGCUAAAUGCGGAAGAGAUAAGUGCUGAAAGCAUCUAAGCACGAAACUUGCCCCGAGAUGAGUUCUCCCUGAGACUUAAAGUCUCCUGAAGGAACGUUGAAGACGACGACGUUGAUAGGCCGGGUGUGUAAGCGCAGCGAUGCGUUGAGCUAACCGGUACUAAUGAACCGUGAGGCUUAACCUUACA
rnacentral:rRNA from 1 species